AGAAGACAUCGUAUUGCUCAUCCCAUACCUAAUGACUGAGGUGGCAUGCUGGAUGUACUGGCUGGAGCUACAGAGAAGGACACAGAUGGACUUCACUCUUUGCCUGGGAUUGACAGCAUGUAAAAUACACUCUUUCCCUCUGGUCCCUAAGAGAGACAACCCAAAUUCCAUCCAGUCAUAACAUCAAGCAUCAAGUCUAGAAUCUCUAGUAAUCUUAUAUCAAGAAUGAAGCAAGACAUUGGCACCGGGUCCAGACAUGGCUCCUGAUGAUCCAGAGACAUGGAGGCUAAGGAAACUGCAAUCAGUAGGCACGAGUCCUGGAACAAAAUGAUGCCCUUGCAGAGGUAAACUGAUGUGGAACUUCACUCUGUGAGCGUGAGAUGCCACAGGAGUGGCUGGAGUGGUGGAACAUGGCUCAUGGGGCCACUAGGCUGUGCCUCUCGUACUCGCCACCAUCGAGGGAUUACUGGAGACGGUGGGGAUCCUUGAAUGCCGAAUGCCGCGCAGU